UUAAGUUGCAGGGUAUAGACCCGAAACCCGGUGAUCUAGCCAUGGGCAGGUUGAAGGUUGGGUAACACUAACUGGAGGACCGAACCGACUAAUGUUGAAAAAUUAGCGGAUGACCUGUGGCUGGGGGUGAAAGGCCAAUCAAACCGGGAGAUAGCUGGUUCUCCCCGAAAGCUAUUUAGGUAGCGCCUCGUGAAUUCAUCUCCGGGGGUAGAGCACUGUUUCGGCUAGGGGGCCAUCCCGGCUUACCAACCCGAUGCAAACUGCGAAUACCGGAGAAUGUUAUCACGGGAGACACACGGCGGGUGCUAACGUCCGUCGUGAAGAGGGAAACAACCCAGACCGCCAGCUAAGGUCCCAAAGUCAUGGUUAAGUGGGAAACGAUGUGGGAAGGCCCAGACAGCCAGGAUGUUGGCUUAGAAGCAGCCAUCAUUUAAAGAAAGCGUAAUAGCUCACUGGUCGAGUCGGCCUGCGCGGAAGAUGUAACGGGGCUAAACCAUGCACCGAAGCUGCGGCAGCGACGCUUAUGCGUUGUUGGGUAGGGGAGCGUUCUGUAAGCCUGUGAAGGUGGCCUGUGAGGGUUGCUGGAGGUAUCAGAAGUGCGAAUGCUGACAUAAGUAACGAUAAAGCGGGUGAAAAGCCCGCUCGCCGGAAGACCAAGGGUUCCUGUCCAACGUUAAUCGGGGCAGGGUGAGUCGACCCCUAAGGCGAGGCCGAAAGGCGUAGUCGAUGGGAAACGGGUUAAUAUUCCCGUACUUGGUGUUACUGCGAAGGGGGGACGGAGAAGGCU
rnacentral:rRNA from 1 species